rnacentral:rRNA from 1 species
UGCGUAGGUGGCCUUUUAAGUUGGAUGUGAAAUACCCGGGCUUAACCUGGGGGGUGCAUCUAAUACUGGAAGGCUAGAGUGCAGGAGAGGAAAGCGGAAUUCCUAGUGUAGCGGUGAAAUGCGUAGAUAUUAGGAGGAACACCAGUGGCGAAGGCGGCUUUCUGGACUGUAACUGACACUGAGGCGCGAAAGUGUGGGGAGCAAACA